AAUACAGGUGAGUAGCAGACUGGAGUGGAGACGACGGAAAAACAGGUAAUAAAAGAGAUACUACACUGGAACAAAGACGAGACAAUACAGCUACAGGGAAGACUAGAAGCAUCGGCCGGCAUAGCAAAACACAAUGCUUGUAAAGACAUUGCGUUGCAUACCGGCCGACCCCGUCGUCCCCCCUGGUCGUCGAAAUUGGCGUCUUCCAGAGUCGUCAGAGGUAGCUGCAAUUAGCACCUCGUCGUCGUUGUGGCUGUGGCUGCCCUCUUGGAAAACCAGUGGCACUGGUCCGGCCACCAGCUGGGAGCCAGGAGUAGACGGCACACAUAGUACUGUGGCGACACGGGUCCGGCCGCCAAAGUGAAAUGGAUGUGAGUGUGUGUGUGCGUCGGCAAUUGUGGCCCUAAUGUAGAGCAAGUGGCACUGUUCCGGCCACCAGCUGUGGGCAAUGGUGGACAAUGACACACAUAACUCGAACGGCACAGGUCCGGCCGCCCAAGUGUAGUGGAUGUUUGUGUGUGUGUGUAUCUGAAUGGCUGGCGGACCAUAGGGCACUCUGAAUGCCAUGGCACUGGAUCUGGCCACCAGCUAAGGACGAUGGCGAUGGCAUAACUCGAACGGCACAGUGGCAGAGAUGUGUCCAGUUAGUACACAGCGUUCCAGGAUAUCUGGUUGUCAAGAAGGAUCCGUCUCUGGAGUGGU
rnacentral:sRNA from 15 species